CAGUAUAUAAGGAGGGCCCUGUCCGCGACGCACUCCAUUAUUGGACCACUCACACACGCUCACUCAGGGAGUCAUCGAGUCAUCAGUAUGCUGAAGAUCUCCAUCUGUCUGGCCCUCCUGCUGUAUGGCAUCAUGCCGCAUCACGCCGACGGCCAUCCAAGGGCAGUCGCAGCCGCAACCGACGGCCCCGAAAGCUGCUGUUUCAACUUUUUUAAAAGCAGAAUUCCCAUCGCCAACAUUGUGACCAUCACGAAAAUUUACUCUGGCUGUCCUCAUCAAGGAUUUAUUGUUCAGACCGUCAAAGAAAAAUCAUUUUGCGUGGAUGCAGAAUAUUUCAAAUGAAGACAGCUCAAAACUGAAGUUUCCAUCAGAGGGCGCCUCAGUGUCAUCGGGGUUAUAGCCAAAAAUCUUCUCAUCUGUUCGUCAGUGAAGUUUGUUUUAUACGCUUGAGAGCAUAGCGAAUCCUGUCUUUGCUUAUUCGUGAAUUGAAUUUGUAACAAUUUAUUACAAUAGGUGUGAAACGAGAAAAGAAAGAGUCAGCCUUAUGU